UACGUAGGUGGCAAGCGUUGUCCGGAUUUAUUGGGCGUAAAGCGCGCGCAGGCGGUCCUUUAAGUCUGAUGUGAAAUCUUGCGGCUCAACCGCAAGCGGUCAUUGGAAACUGGGGGACUUGAGUACAGAAGAGGAAAGCGGAAUUCCACGUGUAGCGGUGAAAUGCGUAGAGAUGUGGAGGAACACCAGUGGCGAAGGCGGCUUUCUGGUCCAUUACUGACGCUGAGGUGCGAAAGCGUGGGGAGCAAACAGG
rnacentral:rRNA from 1 species